AUUUAGCUCUUCCCGUUCUUCUAUUAAGGUCAUAUACGUUAUAUAACUGUCUUGUUUAAUUAAUUAUACACUCCAACAAACACAUUCAUGAUCCAAGGAAACCGUCUAGGGCUAAGUUCUGUCUACAUCCUAUCCUCUACAGACACUACAUAUGGGAUAAUAUUGAAUACGUUAUUGUAUGAGAAGUAUAUAUUUCAGCUUGUUAAAAGUUGAUGUUUCCUCAAUUAACAAAGAUAUAUUCAAGUUCACUAGCAGGAACGACCAUGAAGUGCGUAAAGGAGUCGGUAUAGUGCUGAAUAAAGCAUAAUGGUCUGUACUACAGUAUCAUUAGGAAAAGUUCAUAGCAUGGGAUGCAUUCCACAAAAGGUUGUGCCUAUAUUAAGCCAUGUAUAUAGGGAGGAUAACAGAUUGUUUCCACUCGUACCCCAGCUUUCGCGUACUUCUCUGAGAAGAUUAUUUUGGACAGUGAAAUCUUCAUUGAGUAAUCAGGAGAAGCAACUGAGAGCCUUAGAUUCUUACUUCCAAAAGCUUCAUGAUAGCACGGGAGCUUCAUCUUCGAUUGAGAUAGAAAAACUAACAGGAAAAAAUCAUCGACCUAAAGCAGAGAAGGCACUACGAUCUUUGGAUUACUUUCGUGGAAAAGAGCCAAAAUUCCAUACAUUUUCAUCUUCUGAUGAGAAUACAAUUGAAGAAGCAUCAUAUUUUUCCAUGAGAAUGAUCAACAGAGGUGGCAGGGCUAAGAAACUAGAACAGUACAUGAAGUUAAAAGCUAAGGAUAUUGAGAGUUCGAACGAAGAAUCAUCUAGUUUUUACUUGAUAGGAAUACUGGCUUCUAUUAACAUUGCAGUAUUCCUCUUUGAGACAGCUAGUCCAGUCAGGAACUCGGAAGUAGGGAUGUUGUCACUACCAAUGGUAUAUGGCGCGAAGAUAAAUCAUUUGAUCCUACUUGGUGAAUGGUGGAGGCUUUUAACACCGAUGUUUCUGCACUCAGGAGUCCUUCACAUAGCCCUUGGUUGUUGGGUGCUUCUAAGUUUUGGGCCUCAAGUAUGUAAAGCAUAUGGUUCAUUUCCAUUUUUCCUGAUAUAUGUUCUUGGAGGAAUUUCUGGUAACCUCAUCAGUUUUCUUCACACCGCGGAGCCAACUGUUGGAGGAACUGGACCUGCUUUUGCUCUAAUAGGAGCUUGGCUCAUUUAUCAAGUCCAGAACAAAGACAUGCUAGGAAAAGAAGCUGCUAAAAGCAUGAUGGAUAAGGCGAUAAUAGCAACUGCUAUCAGCUUUGUGCUAAGCAACUUUGGGCCUAUAGAUGACUGGGCACAUUUUGGAGCAACAUUGAUGGGAAUAGCAUAUGGUUAUCUUGUAUGUCCAAGUGCUCAAGUGGAAAAUAUUGCAUCUUCAGAAAGUGGUCAAAAAGAAGGAAUGACACUAGUUAAACAAUAUUCAGAUCCUUGUAAAUCCCUUAUUUACUUCUCAGUCUUCAUUAUCCUGUUUGCUUCUUUGCUUUUGAUAAUAGAACCUCCUCUCAACUCAAUAGCUGGAGCUGGAGACAAGUUCUAUAUAAGCUGAAACAGGGUGAUUAAAACUCUAAUACUUUAUGCAUAGGCGUGUUAUAUAUACAGGUUUUGAAUAAAUAAGCUUUACAAAAAUAUAUACAGGUUUUGAAUAAAUAAGUUACUAGUGACCUGCUACUAAAUGGUGCUAAAAAUUGUUAAUUACAUAAAAUUGUGAACUUCAAGCACUACAAAAGUCGAUAUACAGAUUGAUCAAUAGAUGAAAGGAUCAUAUUUUACUUAUUUUUAACAAUUUCUACGUAUUUACCCAAUUAAUUUGAAUUCGCAACAAAACCCUUUCUACCAAGAAGGUUUGAAUCUGAGCUCUUAAAGCUUAGUUUAAGAGUGAGCGAUCACAUAUUAUGUUUUGCGUCUUUCAUAAAAUUUAAUCAGUCUGAGAGGAAGAGAAGGGUCAUUUGCAGUUUUUCACCCAUUUUCUGUUUCUUUAAUUUAUUUAAGUGGAAACAAAUAUUUUUUUAUUGGAUACAAGUUUAUAUUUAUAUAUAUAUCUUAAUAUUUGCAAGUUAUUUUUAAAUGACUUAGCGUCUCUAAAGGACUACUCUUUACUCUUACUAAACAUAAAUAGCUUAUCUGUUAAAUGGAUAAAAAUUAAAGUUCAUGAAAAAAAAAAAAAGGCGAAAUUUCAUGAAUAGCAAAAAAAAAAAAUAAAAUUUAAUAAGUGCGAUAAUUUUAUCUGAUAUGCGAAAACUUUGAGAGAGGCCCGGGUUCAUAAAGGGAGGAUGGGCUUGGAGAGAGACAGUAAAAUGGGCUUUAAUUCAUAAAAUGGAAGCCCGCCAGCGUAAUCUUUGGGAAUUCAAAUUUUGUGACACCUGUAGAGGGUGACAAUGGAGUCCUCGUGAAGCAACCACGUAUCUCGACCAAAAAAAACACCUAUUACUGCAAGCAAAAUUGGUGGAAACUAUGAUACUGAGCAGCAGAUUAAUGGCGGUGGGAAGAGGCGGCAGAACCCUUAUGGGGCCAUUGUUGGUCAUAAACUUGGUAGUUUAUUUAAUUGUACUGGGACUUGCUGGCUGGUCAGUUGAUAAAUACAUUGAUGGUGAACAGAAUCAUCCUCAUUUAGGUGGGAAUCCAUCAACAAGUUUUAUGUUGAUUUUUGCAUUGAUUGGGGGAGGAAUGGGUGCUUCCUCUAUGCUAGCUGGGUUUUUUCAUCUCCGGAAAUGGACUAGUCACAGUUUGGCUAGUGCUGCUUCUUCAGCUAUAAUCUCUUGGGCCAUUACUGCUCUUGCUUUUGGUUUAGUUUGCAAGCAGAUAAUAAUGGGAGGUCACCGAGGAAAACGCCUGCAAACUUUGGAAGCGUUGAUCACCAUAGCUAUGGUGACUCAAUUACUCUAUAUACUACUGUUGCACGCUGGGAUUUUUCACAGCAGGUAUGGCCCUGUUUAUGGUUCCUAUGGACCUCAGCACUAAAUUGCUCAACUCGGUCCAGCUCUGCAAUUGCUCCUCCGUGAUUAUGCCAAAAUUGUUUACACCAGAUAAAUACAUCCAGGACUGCUGUGGAUUGGUUAGACUCAAACUUGUACAGUUCAGAUACUUUUAGCAUUUCUAGUGUUCAAUUUUCAUCGACUGUCGCAGUAAGAAAUAGCUGUACAUGAAAUCUGGGUUCUUGGUUCAGAUGGUUCAUGGUAAAUUUGGAACAUUUUUAUAAUUCCUGUAUUGAAAUGUUGUGUUUACUAGAUGAGAACAAAAGCUGAGUUGAUAAACUAAA